ACUUCUAACCAGUAGAAAGAAAGGAGAGACCUGGAGCAACAAUAAAGUUCUAAUUUUGCAAGCCAAAAACUGGGAGACAACACAUACAAUUGACAAAGGAUUCAUAUCCAGAUUGAGCAGGACUUGCAAUCAGUUGUAUGACUAUACAGAGUGGAUAUUAAAUUUAUGGGACUUUUAAAAUCAUUAAAGAGCAGAUUUCCCCACAAGCAUGAUUUUUCUUUUCCCAAUGAAUUAAAAAACAAACCUGAGUACUCAAAAAGAAGAAGAAGAAGAAAAAGAAGAAGAAGGAGAAGAAGAAGAAGAAAUGAAGUCACAACCCAACGUAAGACACACACCUAAAAUUUAG
rnacentral:lncRNA from 1 species